GUCCUAAGCUCUAAGCGAAAGCUAACAUAUAAAAAUACACAUAAAUAAUAUUUUUGUUGUAUUUUUUUGAAGGGAAAGGGAAAACGGUUCCAAUUCCGAAACCAAUGGAGAAAACGUUAAUGGGGGGCCCAAUAAAUUAUAAAGCAAUUUAUAUUUUAUAGGUUUAAAGCUCAUCCUGGUAACAGAAGCUACCAUAGAGAAGCCGUCGAAGCAUACCGAAAGAGUUAUCUUUUCUGUUUCAUAACUGUAUUACCAUGGAAAUCUUUCAAAGAGAGAUAUGGUAAAUGAGUUAGAAGAGCAUGGCGUUUAUUGCUGUGUCGGGUAUGUCAUUCCUCGGACCUUGAAAAUCUAUGGUAGGGCCACGUAAACAUUCUCAAUAGACCGUACCAAUAUCCGCAGCAGGUCUCCAAGGUUAAGAGUCUCUAGUCGAUAGAAUAAUGUAGGUAAGGGAAGUCGGCAAAUUAGAUCCGUAACUUCGGGAUAAGGAUUGGCUCUGAAGAUUGAGAUGUGUCGGGCUUGUUUGGGAAGUAUGAGUAAAUGUGUUGGCUAAAGUAUCUGAUUAGUUGUCUCUUAACGGGGACGGUGAAAAGAUAUGAUUAAGUCAACACGAAGUACGGAACACUCAAGCUAUGCUAUAUACAUCAAAAGAAAAAUUUACUUAACAGUUGUUUUUCUGUAUAUAGAUUAACAACGACCAUCAACAAACAACCACUC
rnacentral:rRNA from 1 species